UCACAUGGGAGCAUACAAAGUAGAAAAGCCCAAUUUCUUCGAACCACCCCUCUCAACCCCAAUUCCUUUCGCAGAGGUAAUAGCCAAAAAGCUUGAGAAAAACACACAGCUUUCCAGAGCUGUUAUUUUAAAAUACAAAUAGUUUUAUAGCAUUGCUAACAUCUGCUUUUCUACUUAAUAUGUCUCAGAGUAUUCCAUAGCACGUCCUCAUUCUCUCCUUUUUACCGAUUGCAUAAUACUCUGCAGCAUGGCCGUGCUGUGACUUUUACUUAACCAGCUAAUUCUGUGACUACCCCUCGGUGCAUACUGUUCCCACCGCACAGGUCUGUAGGAGGCCCACAGGGGAUGUCCCUGUAUACGUCACAUUUGCUUUAAGCCUUCUCAGGGAAUGUCUUCCUUCAUUUCAAUUUCAAUGUAAUCAAAUGCUGCCAGUACGGACAUUAAAUCCAGGAAGAUGAAAGCUCAUAGACAUAGGCCAUCGUCUGUACCUUUAAAAUCCUCACGUCUGCAUUUAUUCAAUGCCUGGCACGUGGUUGACAUUGAUAAUUGUUUGUUGAAUAGAUAAGGAAAAGCUAACUAGAUGUGUGAGGUUUGAAAAUAAAGUGUAAUAACCCCAAAGUCCCUAAAGUUGGAAGUGAGGUCUAAAAUUGGUUAGUGAAUCAAGAUUUAAUUUGAUGCCAAAUUUUGUAUCUUUUAUCUAGAAGCUAGAAAACACUGCAAGGUUUCUUAGUUUGGGGGGAGUUGUAAGAUGAAUGAAAAUUCUUGUUUCUUUACUACUGAAGUCAUCUCAAGGAAUUCCAUAAAAUGAAGGGAGAGAGGAAAUGUAAGAUUAAAGACCAAAGAGCAUGGUUCGUUCCCAGGUUUUGGCACCAAAAAAACAAAACAAAACAACCCCCCCCCCCCCAAAAAAAGAGUAACAAGAAA